UGGGGAAUUUUGGACAAUGGGGAAACCCUGAUCCAGCCAUCCCGCGUGUGCGAUGAAGGCCUUCGGGUUGUAAAGCACUUUUGGCAGGAAAGAAACGUCAUGGGUUAAUACCCCGUGAAACUGACGGUACCUGCAGAAUAAGCACCGGCUAACUACGUGCCAGCAGCCGCGGUAAUACGUAGGGUGCAAGCGUUAAUCGGAAUUACUGGGCGUAAAGCGUGCGCAGGCGGUUCGGAAAGAAAGAUGUGAAAUCCCAGAGCUUAACUUUGGAACUGCAUUUUUAACUACCGGGCUAGAGUGUGUCAGAGGGAGGUGGAAUUCCGCGUGUAGCAGUGAAAUGCGUAGAUAUGCGGAGGAACACCGAUGGCGAAGGCAGCCUCCUGGGAUAACACUGACGCUCAUGCACGAAAGCGUGGGGAGCAAACA
rnacentral:rRNA from 1 species